rnacentral:lncRNA from 1 species
CCAUGCCUCCCUCUCUUCUCCUCUUUGGUUCCACCACCCAAAGGUAUUGGGUGCCCUCCAUCUCUAUGCCUAAGAGUAGCUUGGGUGUCCCACUUUCUUACUGAUUUCUAGAUCUUGGUUGCUUCAUAAUCAAGGAAAGGAGAGCAAGAAAAGAAGAAAAAAAAAGAUCGAAGAAAGAAUCAAAGAGUUGAUUGCGAUCUAGAUUUCAUUCAGAUUUACAGGGUGAUUGUUCUUAGAAAAGAAAGACCAACACCAAAGAGGGCUCGUCCAGACUAAUCCUGAGUAGAUACCCAU